rnacentral:rRNA from 1 species
AGAGUUUGAUCAUGGCUCAGAUUGAACGCUGGCGGCAGGCCUAACACAUGCAAGUCGAGCGGUAGCACAGAGAGCUUGCUCUCGGGUGACGAGCGGCGGACGGGUGAGUAAUGUCUGGGAAACUGCCUGAUGGAGGGGGAUAACUACUGGAAACGGUAGCUAAUACCGCAUAAUGUCGCAAGACCAAAGUGGGGGACCUUCGGGCCUCAUGCCAUCAGAUGUGCCCAGAUGGGAUUAGCUAGUAGGUGGGGUAACGGCUCACCUAGGCGACGAUCCCUAGCUGGUCUGAGAGGAUGACCAGCCACACUGGAACUGAGACACGGUCCAGACUCCUACGGGAGGCAGCAGUGGGGAAUAUUGCACAAUGGGCGCAAGCCUGAUGCAGCCAUGCCGCGUGUGUGAAGAAGGCCUUCGGGUUGUAAAGCACUUUCAGCGGGGAGGAAGGCGGUGAGGUUAAUAACCUCAUCGAUUGACGUUACCCGCAGAAGAAGCACCGGCUAACUCCGUGCCAGCAGCCGCGGUAAUACGGAGGGUGCAAGCGUUAAUCGGAAUUACUGGGCGUAAAGCGCACGCAGGCGGUCUGUCAAGUCGGAUGUGAAAUCCCCGGGCUCAACCUGGGAACUGCAUUCGAAACUGGCAGGCUAGAGUCUUGUAGAGGGGGGUAGAAUUCCAGGUGUAGCGGUGAAAUGCGUAGAGAUCUGGAGGAAUACCGGUGGCGAAGGCGGCCCCCUGGACAAAGACUGACGCUCAGGUGCGAAAGCGUGGGGAGCAAACAGGAUUAGAUACCCUGGUAGUCCACGCCGUAAACGAUGUCGAUUUGGAGGUUGUGCCCUUGAGGCGUGGCUUCCGGAGCUAACGCGUUAAAUCGACCGCCUGGGGAGUACGGCCGCAAGGUUAAAACUCAAAUGAAUUGACGGGGGCCCGCACAAGCGGUGGAGCAUGUGGUUUAAUUCGAUGCAACGCGAAGAACCUUACUUGGUCUUGACAUCCACAGAACUUUCCAGAGAUGGAUUGGUGCCUUCGGGAACUGUGAGACAGGUGCUGCAUGGCUGUCGUCAGCUCGUGUUGUGAAAUGUUGGGUUAAGUCCCGCAACGAGCGCAACCCUUAUCCUUUGUUGCCAGCGGUUCGGCCGGGAACUCAAAGGAGACUGCCAGUGAUAAACUGGAGGAAGGUGGGGAUGACGUCAAGUCAUCAUGGCCCUUACGACCAGGGCUACACACGUGCUACAAUGGCAUAUACAAAGAGAAGCGACCUCGCGAGAGCAAGCGGACCUCAUAAAGUAUGUCGUAGUCCGGAUUGGAGUCUGCAACUCGACUCCAUGAAGUCGGAAUCGCUAGUAAUCGUAGAUCAGAAUGCUACGGUGAAUACGUUCCCGGGCCUUGUACACACCGCCCGUCACACCAUGGGAGUGGGUUGCAAAAGAAGUAGGUAGCUUAACCUUCGGGAGGGCGCUUACCACUUUGUGAUUCAUGACUGGGGUGAAGUCGUAACAAGGUAACCGUAGGGGAACCUGCGGUUGGAUCACCU